CAACGAAAGAUAUUUUUCGCAAACAUCAAACUGAAUAGCAUAAAACUCAUAAUCAACUUAGCGUCAAAUCGAUAAUCGAUGACUUCUAAUUACCUACUCGGACGGAUAUCGUUGAUUUCCACGUUUCAUCGAUUUUCGAUAAAACUACACUUAUCUCAACCGAUUAUAAUUCGAAACUUCCACAAUAAUUACAACGUCUUAUCCAUGAAAAUUCAUGAAGUUUUCACAAUGAUACGACUAACGGAAAAUAAAAAUUAAGAUAAUAGAAUAAUGUACCGUGAUAGUUUUCGAAUCAUAUAGGGCGUUAGACCGUGCAAUAUUUUGUUCGAUUUUAUGCUCUCGUUCAAGUUUCUUAGAAUUUUCUGUGCCCAUUAUCCUUGGUUUAUUAUGUCAGAUAAUCGUUCGAGAAAAACUUUAACUAUUUAACUAUGGAGAUUAUACAACGAGUUAUCGAAAUAAGAAAUUACAGAAGAAAAACUAUGGGAUAUAUGGAAAUCAAAAACGAUUCUUCAUAAGGAGCUGUAUUCGAGUGGAAAUCAUAGGCAUGUAGACUGUGAAUUGAAUUAUUAUGAACUAUUGCUCUUUAGAUAUCUAUUACAGUGAUAAAAGUGACAAUGUAAGCUUAGAAAUAUAAUUUAUUUUG